AUGCGGGUUAUGGACGAGGGGAGUGACUGCAGCAGCCCGGGGAGUUUUCCCAGGAUUACCGGGACUGUGGCUCUGGGGAAACAGCAGGUGGUGGCGUUGAAAAAACGGCCAGAGCCCGCGGCCGGAGCACCAGCGGAGCUGGAAGCCGCGGGGCAGUCCCCAGCCGCAGGAGUGGAUACAGCCGCCCCAGACGUGGAGCCGCCCGACGGCGAGGGGGCGACGGCCCCGCCAGGUGUGGAGGUACCAGAGCCAGGAGCCACACGAUCACCAGCGGCCGUGUGCAGAGAGCUGGCGGCGGCGCCUCCAGGCACCGAGCGAAGAACUGGGCUGUCGGCCAGGGCCUCGAAGCGGUUGGAAAGGCUCAGGCGAGGAGGAGAGGCAGUCGCAUCCUGGACUCUCUUUCUGUCACGGAUAACAACUUCAGACCAGGAUGACUGGAGGCUGGGUGUUGAGGAGGUGACAGGCCGUGGGCAGGUGGAGGUAUCCCAUGGAGCAGUAUCCUGGAGGGCCGCUUUGAGUUGGAUUAUGUGCAUGGAUUGUUCGUGGGCGAUGUCCAGACAGGAGGUCAGCAGGGCCUGUUUAUUCUGCAGCUCCUGCGAAAGUCGACGGAUGUCUUCUUUGAGCCACUGGUGGGCGUGGUCACGGAGGAUCCUGCCAAAGCAUCUGCAGCUCAUCAUCCUGCAAUCAACUUGCCUACAUAUACUCAGAACAACCUUCCAGACCCCGCCGGAUUGUUGAAUCAACCACCAGUCCUGAGCCUGGACCCAGUCUGCCUGCCUGCACAGCCGACCUCGAGCCCUGGAGCCUGAAUGCCACCUCCACUCGCUGACGCCAUGAAAACACCUGUCACGCCAAUCUCAACUUGUUUUGUGCAACUCUCAAUAAAUUCUUUUGUGUUCUAAUGUCAACUCUAGUCUGCAAUUGAGUUCUGGUCCCCGGUCCUGGCAGGACCCAAGGUUUCCCAGCAGAACAUUGCCCAAAGCAUUACACUUCCUCCGUCAUCUUGCCUUCUUCCUGUAGUGCAUCCUGGUGCCAUGUGUCUCCCAGGUAAGCGACGCACACGCACCUGGCAAUCCACAUCAUUUUAAAAAAAAACGAAUACAUCAGACCAGGGCACCUUCUUCCAUUGCUCCGUAGUCUAGUUCUGAUGCUCAAGUUGACCACGUGUUGGAGCGGUCAACACGGGUACCAUAUACAACAUACUCUUUUCAAUCUGUAAUAAUCUUAUGUGAAAUGGGACACACUAGGAAGCUUAAAAAACUUAUUAAGAGGGGCCCAGGCACAAAGUAGAUACACGUAAUAACAAAAAUAAAAAUAACAGAAUACAUUUUCACAGCUCAGUGGGUAGAGCUGGUUGACUGGUGAUCAGAAGAUCACUGGUUCAAAUCCCAGCUCCCCAGGGCGGGACUGAGCUACAAGUCGAAGUAUCCUUGAGCAAGAUACUGAACCCCGAAGUUGCUCCUGAUGUGCAGUUGGCACCUUGUGAAGGCAGCCACUGCCAUCAGUAAGGGUCCUGCGAUGAGCUGGCGACUCGUCCAGGGUGAACCCUGGCCUACGCCCAUAGAGUAAGUCUGGAUUUGGCCCCAGUAAGCCCCGCAACCCCUUAGGGGGGAAAAAAAAAAGCGGCAACAUCCCGCGACCCUCAUGGAUAAGCGGAAAGAAAACGGGAACGGAACGGAACAUUUUCACAUAUAUACACUUACAUGUACAUAACACUCUCAACCAUACACACCCAAACAAGAGAUACCCUAACCUAAAGCUAAAUUUAACCUAAGCCCUACUAACAUGGUCCAAGUGGUCACAUCACCAACAGUCCAAGAAGAAUUAUACUACUUUUUUUUAUAUGUAAUGUUCAUUUGAAACUUUCAGCAACAGGUGCCUCUUUUUUUAUUUUUAAAAACAGGUAUAGAUGGGGACAUUUGCAUGUCUCUAUCAAGAUUGUUCCAUACCUGUGGACCUUUGCAAACAAUACUGAGUUUCCGAUUUUUACCCUUAAUAAGAUGCUUCUUCCUAGUCUGAUAGGAAUGCAGAGGAAAGGAAAUUGGAAUCAGGUCACAAAAUCUUUCAUUGAGCUUAUUAACAACACAAAACAUAGUACAAGCAUUAUGAAAAGUAUUAAGUUCAGUAAUUUUCAGGAGGCCAUAGCGAUGAAAAAGCAAGUCGGAAGGAGAAUCAAAUUUAGCCCAAGACAUAGCUCGAAUUAUUUUCUUUUGCAGAAUUGUCACCAUGACUGGUCUGCAGCUAUGCAGCUCCAUACGCAACAAACUGCGAUGCACUGUGUAUUCUGACACCUUACUCUCAGAACCAGCAUUAACUUCUUCAGCAAUUUGAGCAACAGUAGCUUGUCUGUUGGAUCAGACCACAGGGGCUAGCCUUUGCUCCCCACGUGCAUCAAUGAAACUUGAGCCAUGACCCUGUGACCUGUUCAACACUCUUCCAUCUUUGGACCACUUUUGAUAGAUACUGACCACUGCAGACCGGGACCACCCCACAAGAACUGUAGUUUUGGAGAUGAUCUGACCCAGUUGUCUAACCAUCACAAUUGGCCUUUGUUAAACUCGCUCAAAUUCUUACGCUUGCCCAUUUUUCCUGCUUCUAACACAUCAACUUGCUGUUUACUCACUGCCUAAUAUAUCUCACCCACUAACAGGUGCCAUGAUGAAGAGAUAAUCAGUGUUAUUCAUUAGAUUCAUUAGCUACUGUGCAAAACCCUCAAGCUUCUAGGCCACUGGUGGAGGACCCAAGCUUGGAUGAGGGAGGAGGAACACAAGACAGCCCACAGGGGCGAGUGGGCGAUUUCUUUACCUCUGUAUCUUUUGCUGGAUGGCCGCAGGGUGAGCAAAUGUUUACCUACACUUGUAAAGAACAAGUAUAUCAUCAUAGACUUGAGUUCCACUUACUUUUACAAGUCUAACGUGUGCAUCGCAGAAGCGAUUGAAAUGGGCCCAGAAAAGUCAUUUGGAAGAAGUUAAGAGGCCAUACAGCUUUCUAUAAUCACCUAAACUGAUCACUCUGUCUUGGAAUUGAGUCUACCCCUCAUAAUUUUGGUUGUUGUUAUAUUAUAGUACAGUUCCAAAUUCAGUUUUUUACCUUUUAUGAGAUGGAAUUAUUGAAUUGGCUGUCAUUUCCCUUCUUCAAGGGUGGUGCCCCCGAGGUUAUAUGAUGUAUGUCUAUAAUUAUCCUUGAUAAUAAUCAAUUAUUAUUGAUUGCCAAAUUCGACCAGAAUUUCCUAUUAAUGAUGCAUAAUGCCCCAACAAGCUCAUUUAAAAGAACUAGAAAAAAGAACAAAUAUACGUGACCUAGUUCAUUUUUUUGGGACUGUUCUUCAUAUUCAACAUUAUGAACAAUAAAUGUGACAUACUGCUUUCUAACUGUGUGAACUGAACUAGUUCUUCUGAAAUGGGAAUUUAUACAAGACUGGCAACAAGUGUUUAUUUGUGGAAAUACAUUCUAAUGAAGACCAUCAUCUUCCUUCGCCAUAGAUAAAUAGAUAGAGAUAUAUAGACUCUGUGUCUAAUGUCAUUACUGUACACAAGUUGUUUUUGUUGUGCUGUGUAUAGUGAGAAAGGCCUGAUAAAUGUGUAAAAAGCUACUGUAUGUAGAAAUGCUAAUCAAAGACAUUAUUAGCAGAGUACAUAUUUCUGUUCCGCAGACAUCCCUCCCUGACAUGAUGGUCAGAGAACGACAAUUACCACUUGGUGCUGGGCUAGAGAAAAAAAACUCUGAGCCUGGAGUUGGAAAGUGUGUGUGUGGUGAUGUCUCCAAGCCCGGAUGGUAAUUGUCAGGAUUUGGCAGGGCAAUCAGUUCCAUGCCACUGAGCUCCAUGUCUCGACAUGUUCUAUAGCAGCUCUCAGUGUACACACACACACACACACACACAUACACACACACACACACACACACACACACACACACACACACACACACACACAAACUAGAAGACUGACCCCAACACCUGUUCAUUGAUGUGAGACCGAAGUAAGAAUCCUGUUCCCCACUGCCUUGGCUCAGAGGCACAAAGGAACAACCUCCUAUACACACACACACACACACACACACACACACACACACACACACACACACACUACAUGUCAAGGCUGAAGAUCCUCUAUCCCCAAAUUGCUUGUGCAUUCAAGUUCAAUCUCAAUACAUACCAGUUGACCACACAAUGUAGACUCAGCAUCAGCUCAGCUCUUACUGACUCUGCAUCACACGCACAUCGAUGGCAUACAG
ensembl:lncRNA